CUACCUGCAGUCGAGCGGAUGAAGGGAGAUUGUUCUUGCAUUCGGCGACGGACGGAUGAGUGAUGCCUGUGAGUCUGCCUGGCUGAGGGGGAUAACGUCCGGAAACGGGCGCUAAUACCGCAUACGUCCUGAGGGAGAAGUGGGGGAUCUUCGGACCUCCCUCUAUCCGAUGAACCUAGGUCGGAUUAACUAGUUGGUGGGGAAAGGCCUACCCAGGUGACCAUCCAUCCCUGGUCUGACAGGAUGAACGACCACACUGGAACUGACACACAGUCCAUACUCCUACCUGAGGCAGCAGUGGGGAAUAUUGGACAAUGGGCGAAAGCCUGAUCCAGCCAUGCCGCGUGUGUGAAGAAGGACUUCGGAUUGUAUAUCACUUUAUUUUGGGAGGAAGGGCAGUAAGUUAAUACCUUGCUGUUUUGACUGUACCAACCCAAUAAACACCGGCUAACUUCGUGCCAGCAGCCGCGGUAAUACAAAGGGUGCAAGCGUUAAUCGGAAUUACUGACUGGUAAAGCGCGCGUAGGUGGUUCAUCUGGUUGGAUGUGAAAUCCCCGGGCUCAACCUGGGAACUGCAUCCAAAACUACUGAGCUAGAGUACGGUAGAGGGUGGUGGAAUUUCCUGUGUAGCGGUGAAAUGCGUGAGAUAUAGAUAAGGAACAACAGCUGGCGAAAGGCGACCACCCUGCCACUGAUACUGACUGCUG
rnacentral:rRNA from 1 species